rnacentral:rRNA from 1 species
AGAAUCAACGCUGGCGGCGUGCCUCAGACAUGCAAGUCGAACGAUUAAACUUUCCUUCGGGAAAGAUAUAAAGUGGCGCACGGGGUGAGUAACACGUAAGUAAUCUACCUUCGAGUGGGGAAUAACGUCCGGAAACGGACGCUAAUACCGCAUAAUGCAGCGGCAUCGCAAGAUGACAGUUGUUAAAGGAUUUUAUUUCGCUUGAAGAGGAGCUUGCGGCAGUAUUAGCUUGUUGGUAAGGUAACGGCUUACCAAGGCUACGAUCUGUAACCGGUCUAAGAGGACGGUCGGUCACACUGACACUGAAUAACGGGUCAGACUCCUACGGGAGCAGCAGUCGGGAAGUUUUGGCGAAGUGGGACGAAAGCCUAGACCCAGACAACGCCGCGU